ACCAAGUUUCCAACGUCUAGCACACAUCGUUUACGGCAUGGACUACGAGGGUAUCUAAUCCUCUUCGCUACCCAUGCUUUCGUUCCUCAGUGUCAGUAAUGAUCCAGAAAGUUGCCUUCGCAUUUGAUGUUCUUUCUAAUAUCUACGAAUUUCACCUCUACACUAGAAAUUCCACUUUCCUCUAUCAUACUCUAGCUAAAAAGUUUUGAUGGCAGUUCCAAGGUUGAGCCUUGGGAUUUCACCAUCAACUUUUUUAACCACCUACGAACUCUUUAAGCCCAGUAAUUCCGAACUACGCUAGGUCCCUUCGUAUUACCGCGGCUGCUGGCACGAAGUUAGCCGGACCUUCUUAUUCGGGUACAGUCAUUUUCUUCCCCGACGAAAGAGUUUUACAACCCAAAGGCCUUCUUCACUCACGCGGCAUCGCUGCAUCAGGGUUUCCCCCAUUGUGCAAGAUUCCCCACUGCUGCCUCCCGUAGGAGUUUGGGCCGUGUCUCAGUCCCAAUGUGGCUGGUCUUCCUCUAAGAACAGCUAUUGAUCGUUGCCUUGGUAAGCUAUUACCUUACCAACUAGCUAAUCAAGUGCGGGCUCAUCUUUUGGCAUUAAAACUUUCCCUGUGAAGGCUUAUCCGGUAUUAGCACAGGUUUCCCCGUGUUAUUCCAGACCAAAAGGCAGAUUCCCACAUUAUACUCACCCGUUUGCCACUCAGUAUUGCUACUGCGUUCGACUUGCAUGUGUUAGGCGUGCCGCCAGCGUACGUUCUGAGCCAGGAUCAAACUCU
rnacentral:rRNA from 1 species